rnacentral:rRNA from 1 species
UACGGAGGGUGCAAGCGUUAUCCGGAGUCACUGGGUUUAAAGGGUGCGUAGGCGGGCAGGUAAGUCAGUGGUGAAAUCUCCGGGCUUAACCCGGAAACUGCCGUUGAUACUAUCUGUCUUGAAUAUCGUGGAGGUAAGCGGAAUAUGUCAUGUAGCGGUGAAAUGCUUAGAUAUGACAUAGAACACCGAUUGCGAAGGCAGCUUACUACACGAUCAUUGACGCUGAGGCACGAAAGCGUGGGGAGCAAACAGG